CUACCUGAUCCGAGGUCAAAUUUUCAAAAGUUGGGGGUUUAACGGCAGGGCACCGCCAGGGCCUUCCAGAGCGAGGGUUUAACUACUACGCUCGGGGUCCUGGCGAGCUCGCCACUAGAUUUCAGGGCCUGCUUCGUUAGAAGCAGUGCCCCAACACCAAGCAAUGCUUGAGGGUUGAAAUGACGCUCGAACAGGCAUGCCCUCCGGAAUACCAGAGGGCGCAAUGUGCGUUCAAAGAUUCGAUGAUUCACUGAAUUCUGCAAUUCACAUUACUUAUCGCAUUUCGCUGCGUUCUUCAUCGAUGCCAGAACCAAGAGAUCCGUUGUUGAAAGUUUUGAUUCAUUUGUGUUUUUUCUCAGAGUUUCAGUGUAAAAACAAGAGUUAACUUGGCCGCCGGCGUGCCUUCUCCUCACCGGGGUGAGGGGCCUACUAGAGGCCAGCAUGCGCCGAGGCAACAAAAGGUAUAAGUUCACAAAGGGUUUCUGGGUGCGCCUGGGGCGCGUUCCAGCAAUGAUCCCUCCGCAGGUUCACCUACGGAA
rnacentral:rRNA from 1 species